ensembl:lncRNA
UAAUUUGUUGAUCUCCAAACAGAUCAACAAAAUCAGUGGAAAACAUCAGUGCCAGGCAUAGUGAGUAAGAAGGGUCUCAACUAGACACACAUGGGACAUUUUGGAACAGUAAGAAUAAAGAUCCUUAAAGCUUGCAGAAAAAAAAAUCGGAAAGAAGAAUCGUGUUGUAUCCUAGCUCUUUUUCAGAAAUGCUAGAUGCUGAGGACAAUAGAUCAGUGCCUUUAAAAUUCAGAGGCAAAAUUUUUGAACGUAGAUCUCUAAACCCAGCCAAAUCUUCAGUGAAGUGCUAGACAUACAGCCUUUUCAGACAUGCAAGGACUCCAAAGAAUCCUCCUGCCCUCUUUCAUAGGAUGUUUUUUAAGAACAUAUGCCAGUAAAUAAAAGUGGCCAAACCAAGGAAGAGGAAGAUGUGGAGCCCAGGAAAGAAUGGUUGAGCCUGAGCAACCUGUCUAGGGUGGAGCAAAAUGAGUUUCUAGGAAUAACAGUAAUUAACAGAUUCGAGAUGGUGGCAGAGAGCUCGAAACUUGAGAAGAUGAUAAAGAUGACGUGCAGAAAGGAAGGAAUCGUUUAUUCAAAGUUGCCUCCAGGAAUACUCUCUUUUGAAUGUUGCAGUGGCCAUAUCAAAGCAGCUACGAGAGGGAAAAAGGCUGCAGCUCCUGGAGUCCCCAUCAGCUGAGGAAAAUGCCCCCGGACGAAGUGAAUGCCGCAGAUUUGGGUUUCAAACACCAGCAUUGAUCUCAGCAUCGAUUGGGGUUGUGUUGCUGUUCUCGCCCGAGCACCGAGUCCCGCCUGGUCCCCCAGGGAAGAGGAUUGAUCGCAGGGUGUAGCUGAGGGGCCGGGAUGGAAGAGGAAGGACAAAGGGAGCCAGUCCCACGAUGAGGAAAGCACCCUGGACAUGCUUGUCCAAUAAACUGAAAUUCUGCAAAUCA